rnacentral:tRNA from 1 species
AAAAAGAUAAGCUAAAGAAGCUUUUGGGUUCAUACCCCAUUUAUAAAGGUCAAAGUCCUUUUCUUUUUA